UAGGGAAUAUUGCGCAAUGGGGGCAACCCUGACGCAGCAACGCCACGUGUGGGAAGAAGCAUUUCGGUGUGUAAACCACUGUCGAGAGGGAAUAACCGCGGGAUACGUCCCGCCUGAAUGUACCUCUAAAGGAAGCACCGGCAAACUUCGUGCCAGCAGCCGCGGUAAUACGAGGGGUGCAAGCGUUGUUCGGAAUCACUGGGCGUAAAGGGAGCGUAGGUGGAAUUGCAAGUGGACCGUGCAAUCCCGGGGCCCAACCCCGGACUCGCGGUCCAGACUGCAGUUCUUGAGUUAUUCAGAGGCAGACGGAAUUCCUGGUGUAGCGGUGGAAUGCGUAGAGAUCAGGAAGAACACCGAUGGCGAAGGCAGUCUGCUGGGGAUAUACUGACACUGAGGCUCGAAAGCGUGGGUAGCAAACAGG
rnacentral:rRNA from 1 species